rnacentral:lncRNA from 1 species
GGAGGAGGAGGCGCAGUGGCUGUGUCGGUGGAGUGGAGUUGAGGCGCUGGUGAGGGUGACGAGUAGAGGUGCAGCGCUGGAGAUAAAAAAAAAAUGGAAUUUUCUAGAUGGUUUGGGUCGAACCGGUUCGAUUCGGUUCGAUUCGACCCAUAUCUUUGGUUUUCAUUUGGUUUUCGGCUUUUUCAGUCGGUUUUCGGUUCGGUUUCUCACAGUGUUCGCAUUAAAAUAUUGAAAUAAAUUUCCAGGCUGUCGGUUUAUUAAAUUUAAUUGGAAAAUCUUUGAAAAUAAAAAAAUUCGGGUUGUUUCAGU